AGAGUUUGAUCCUGGCUCAGGGUAAACGCUGGCGGCGUGCCUAAAACAUGCAAGUCGAACGCAGAGCUUCGGUUCUGAGUGGCGGACGGCUGAGUAACGCGUGGGUGACCUGACCUCGAGUGGGGAAUAACUGCCCGAAAGGGUGGCUAAGACCGCAUGAGCUCUUCGGACCGAUCCGGAGAGGAAAGCCUGGCGACAGGUGCUGGAGGAGGGGCCCGCGUCCGAUUAGCUGGUUGGUGGGGUAACGGCCUACCAAGGCGACGAUCGGUAGCUGGUCUGAGAGGAUGAUUAGCCAGACUGGGACUGAGAGACGGCCCAGACUCCUACGGGAGGCAGCAGUUAGGAAUUCUGGGCAAUGGGCGAAAGCCUGACCCAGCAACGCCGCGUGGGUGACGACGGCCUUCGGGUUGUAAAGCCCUUUUGGAGGGGAAGAUGAUGACGGUACCCUUCGAAGAAGCACCGGCUAACUACGUGCCAGCAGCCGCGGUAAUACGUAGGGUGCGAGCGUUGCCCGGAUUUAUUGGGCGUAAAGGGCGCGUAGGCGGCCUGGCGCGUCGGCUGUGAAAUCUCCCGGCUCAACUGGGAGGGGACGGCCGAUACGGCUGGGCUUGAGCGAGGUAGGGGAGAGUGGAAUUCCCGGUGUAGUGGUGGAAUGCGUAGAUAUCGGGAGGAACACCAGUGGCGAAGGCGGCUCUCUGGACCUCUGCUGACGCUGAGGCGCGAAAGCGUGGGGAGCGAUCCGGAUUAGAUACCCUAGUAGUCC
rnacentral:rRNA from 1 species